GUGAAACUGACAUACACGCUGUUGUUUUCCUUUGUGGUAGUCGAUGUCGUCCUUCAAGGAAAGUACACACCAAAAAGUGAAGAGACUCAAAAAGACAGUGGGGCAACUUCAUCAAUCAGAAGACAUCUGACCCGUUUGUCCUCCAGUUGCAACCUUCUGCUUCCGAACUGCUCCUGCUUCUUUAACCCUCGCAUCAUGGGGAGGGGUGCAAGCGAAGAAUGGGAUGAAAAGCAUCCAGACACAAGGCAAACCCAACCGCAAAAACACCAAGACACACAGAGUGAAGAGUCAGAAGAGAGCGGCUGUAUGAAGUGCUGCAUCCGUACCAGGAACUGUCUGAUGAGUGCGGAGUGCGGCAGGGCGCUCCAGAUCUCCAGUGUUGUCGCCUGGUGUGGCACGUGCAUCGGCAUAUGGACAUAGUUUGACCUUGAACGCAAGAAACACCUUUUCUAAAGGGGGCUACAUUGGUUCUCAACAUGCUUUCCUCCAGCAACCAGCGAGAAACACAAGCACCUUAAUGCUUACCUCUAAUCUUACAUAAUAAAUAUUAAUCUUAGCAUCUGAAGACUCCUGUAGUUUCCAUCAACUGACAUUGCUUAUUUUACAUUGAACUGACCUUGGCUUUGCAUUCUUUACUAUAUGUUGUGAGCUUGGUUCCCAUAAAAAGGGCUGAAAAAAAGCUAAAAACUGUGUGGAAUUACUGGAAAUCAAUAAGUUAUGUUUUAAGUGCAUUUUAACAUAAACAGUGGGCGGCAUGGUAGCACAGUGGUUGGCAUGGUCACCUCACAGGAAGAAGGCUUUGGGUCUGCUUUCUGGCUGGCAGGCCAGGGUUCUUUCUGUGUGGAGUCUGCAAGUUCUCCCAGGGUCUGCAUGGGUUUCCGCUGGCAGCUCCGGUUUCCUCCCACAGUCAAGACAUGUAGGUCAGGUGAAUCGGAUAUACUAAAUUGCCCCUGGGUGUGAAUGUGUGCAAGAAUGUGUCUGUCUGUGUGUCUGCCCUGCAACGGA